rnacentral:tRNA from 1 species
GGAGAGGUGUCUGAGUGGUUGAAGGUGCCGCUCUCGAAAAGCGGUGUGUGGCUAAAACUGCACCAGGAGUUCGAAUCUCCUCCUCUCCGCCA